GGGGAAUAGCGUAGUUGCUAGGGCUUUUGACUCCAAAUCGAAAGGUUCAGGGUUCGAUCCCCAGCGUCCUCGA